GAAACAUGAAUUUAUUAUGUGUCUUGUGUUUUCUUAUAUUGUUGCAUUUUGCCUGGGCCCAACAAGUGGCCAUAACCAAAGAUAAUCAUGUUUACACUUUCUGGUACAAUUCUUCUGAUACUGAUGUAGCUACAUACACCUUUGAUUAUUGUGACAUAGUUACCUGUACAUUCCCACAGACACAACAUGCAGCCAUAUACAAGGACAUACCUAACAAAAAGGACCCAUACAUUUGUGUGACUGGAGGAGCUUGGGGACACCACUGUAGUUCAUGGAAAGCUGCUGGGUGGAAUACAGGUAGACCAUGGGGCUACAGACCUCAGGUUGCACUAGACAGACUUGACAAAGACGGGAAGCCCCUACUUUCUAGAAUGACUCUUAGUAAACCCACAGGGUCAACUCCAAUUAAACUUACCUUGAAUAUAGAACACCCUAGUCCAAGGGACGCGGGGGAAUAUGUGAUGGGGAUGUACUGGAAGGGAGGUGGCUCACACAAUGCACUGGGGACAUUCUACCUACAAGACAUGCUCAC
rnacentral:lncRNA from 1 species